rfam:Dipodomys ordii contig_29437, whole genome shotgun sequence.
GGUGGCUCAGUGGUAGAGCUCUUGCUUUCCAUGCUUGAGGCCCUGGGUUCGAUUCCUCAGCACCA